AAGUGAAGAAAAGUCGCCUUGCCGGGCAGAGGAAAUUACUCCAGGAUUUGAAUCAUCACAAGAGAUUCACCAGAGGAUUUUAUACACUUGGGCUGUGGCAGCAGACUAAUUACAUCACAGCACUAGGACUCUGCAGUGCCGUUACUGUUAUAUAUGAAGUGUCCAUUUAUAUGUGAGUCAUUGCCUAUCUUGGUUAUGCUCCAUUGAUUUAUUUGUCAAUUUCUGUGACAAUAUCAUAUUGUCUUUAUCAUUUUACUUUAUAAUCAUUGUUAAUAUUUAGUACAUCAAGAACUCCCACCUCAUUUUUUAAAAGAAUGUUUUGGAUAGUCUUGGCCUUUAAAUUUUCCAUAAAGUUUAAAAUCAGUCUGUCAAAUUCUGUCAAAAAAAAAAAAACCCUCCUGGGAAUAUUUAUUGGGAUUGAACUGAAUCAUUAAAUCAUUUUAGAGUGAACUGAUAUUUUUAUACUAUUGAGCCUUCCAAUCACGAUUUACUUCAGUUUUCCUUAGUGUCUUUCAAUAGACAUAAAAGUCUUAUAU
rnacentral:lncRNA from 1 species